UUAAGCGACUAAGCGUACACGGUGGAUGCCCUGGCAGUCAGAGGCGAUGAAGGACGUGCUAAUCUGCGAUAAGCGUCGGUAAGGUGAUAUGAACCGUUAUAACCGGCGAUUUCCGAAUGGGGAAACCCAGUGUGAUUCGUCACACUAUCAUUAACUGAAUCCAUAGGUUAAUGAGGCGAACCGGGGGAACUGAAACAUCUAAGUACCCCGAGGAAAAGAAAUCAACCGAGAUUCCCCCAGUAGCGGCGAGCGAACGGGGAGGAGCCCAGAGCCUGAAUCAGUGUGUGUGUUAGUGGAAGCGUCUGGAAAGGCGCGCGAUACAGGGUGACAGCCCCGUACACAAAAAUGCACAUACUGUGAGCUCGAUGAGUAGGGCGGGACACGUGGUAUCCUGUCUGAAUAUGGGGGGACCAUCCUCCAAGGCUAAAUACUCCUGACUGACCGAUAGUGAACCAGUACCGUGAGGGAAAGGCGAAAAGAACCCCGGCGAGGGGAGUGAAAAAGAACCUGAAACCGUGUACGUACAAGCAGUGGGAGCCUCUUUAUGGGGUGACUGCGUACCUUUUGUAUAAUGGGUCAGCGACUUAUAUUCUGUAGCAAGGUUAACCGAAUAGGGGAGCCGAAGGGAAACCGAGUCUUAACUGGGCGUUAAGUUGCAGGGUAUAGACCCGAAACCCGGUGAUCUAGCCAUGGGCAGGUUGAAGGUUGGGUAACACUAACUGGAGGACCGAACCGACUAAUGUUGAAAAAUUAGCGGAUGACUUGUGGCUGGGGGUGAAAGGCCAAUCAAACCGGGAGAUAGCUGGUUCUCCCCGAAAGCUAUUUAGGUAGCGCCUCGUGAAUUCAUCUCCGGGGGUAGAGCACUGUUUCGGCAAGGGGGUCAUCCCGACUUACCAACCCGAUGCAAACUGCGAAUACCGGAGAAUGUUAUCACGGGAGACACACGGCGGGUGCUAACGUCCGUCGUGAAGAGGGAAACAACCCAGACCGCCAGCUAAGGUCCCAAAGUCAUGGUUAAGUGGGAAACGAUGUGGGAAGGCCCAGACAGCCAGGAUGUUGGCUUAGAAGCAGCCAUCAUUUAAAGAAAGCGUAAUAGCUCACUGGUCGAGUCGGCCUGCGCGGAAGAUGUAACGGGGCUAAACCAUGCACCGAAGCUGCGGCAGCGACACUAUGUGUUGUUGGGUAGGGGAGCGUUCUGUAAGCCUGUGAAGGUGGCCUGUGAGGGUUGCUGGAGGUAUCAGAAGUGCGAAUGCUGACAUAAGUAACGAUAAAGCGGGUGAAAAGCCCGCUCGCCGGAAGACCAAGGGUUCCUGUCCAACGUUAAUCGGGGCAGGGUGAGUCGACCCCUAAGGCGAGGCCGAAAGGCGUAGUCGAUGGGAAACAGGUUAAUAUUCCUGUACUUGGUGUUACUGCGAAGGGGGGACGGAGAAGGCUAUGUUGGCCGGGCGACGGUUGUCCCGGUUUAAGCGUGUAGGCUGGUUUUCCAGGCAAAUCCGGAAAAUCAAGGCUGAGGCGUGAUGACGAGGCACUACGGUGCUGAAGCAACAAAUGCCCUGCUUCCAGGAAAAGCCUCUAAGCAUCAGGUAACAUCAAAUCGUACCCCAAACCGACACAGGUGGUCAGGUAGAGAAUACCAAGGCGCUUGAGAGAACUCGGGUGAAGGAACUAGGCAAAAUGGUGCCGUAACUUCGGGAGAAGGCACGCUGAUAUGUAGGUGAAGCGACUUGCUCGUGGAGCUGAAAUCAGUCGAAGAUACCAGCUGGCUGCAACUGUUUAUUAAAAACACAGCACUGUGCAAACACGAAAGUGGACGUAUACGGUGUGACGCCUGCCCGGUGCCGGAAGGUUAAUUGAUGGGGUUAGCGGUAACGCGAAGCUCUUGAUCGAAGCCCCGGUAAACGGCGGCCGUAACUAUAACGGUCCUAAGGUAGCGAAAUUCCUUGUCGGGUAAGUUCCGACCUGCACGAAUGGCGUAAUGAUGGCCAGGCUGUCUCCACCCGAGACUCAGUGAAAUUGAACUCGCUGUGAAGAUGCAGUGUACCCGCGGCAAGACGGAAAGACCCCGUGAACCUUUACUAUAGCUUGACACUGAACAUUGAGCCUUGAUGUGUAGGAUAGGUGGGAGGCUUUGAAGUGUGGACGCCAGUCUGCAUGGAGCCGACCUUGAAAUACCACCCUUUAAUGUUUGAUGUUCUAACGUUGACCCGUUAUCCGGGUUGCGGACAGUGUCUGGUGGGUAGUUUGACUGGGGCGGUCUCCUCCUAAAGAGUAACGGAGGAGCACGAAGGUUGGCUAAUCCUGGUCGGACAUCAGGAGGUUAGUGCAAUGGCAUAAGCCAGCUUGACUGCGAGCGUGACGGCGCGAGCAGGUGCGAAAGCAGGUCAUAGUGAUCCGGUGGUUCUGAAUGGAAGGGCCAUCGCUCAACGGAUAAAAGGUACUCCGGGGAUAACAGGCUGAUACCGCCCAAGAGUUCAUAUCGACGGCGGUGUUUGGCACCUCGAUGUCGGCUCAUCACAUCCUGGGGCUGAAGUAGGUCCCAAGGGUAUGGCUGUUCGCCAUUUAAAGUGGUACGCGAGCUGGGUUUAGAACGUCGUGAGACAGUUCGGUCCCUAUCUGCCGUGGGCGCUGGAGAACUGAGGGGGGCUGCUCCUAGUACGAGAGGACCGGAGUGGACGCAUCACUGGUGUUCGGGUUGUCAUGCCAAUGGCACUGCCCGGUAGCUAAAUGCGGAAGAGAUAAGUGCUGAAAGCAUCUAAGCACGAAACUUGCCCCGAGAUGAGUUCUCCCUGACUCCUUGAGAGUCCUGAAGGAACGUUGAAGACGACGACGUUGAUAGGCCGGGUGUGUAAGCGCAGCGAUGCGUUGAGCUAACCGGUACUAAUGAACCGUGAGGCUUAACCUU
rnacentral:rRNA from 1 species